rnacentral:rRNA from 1 species
UGAACGCUGGCGGCGUGCCUAAUACAUGCAAGUCGAGCGAACAGACGCGGAGCUUGCUCCUCUGACGUUAGCGGCGGACGGGUGAGUAACACGUGGAUAACCUACCUAUAAGACUGGGAUAACUUCGGGAAACCGGAGCUAAUACCGGAUAAUAUAUUGAACCGCAUGGUUCAAUAGUGAAAAAUGGUUUUGCUGUCCCUUAUAGAUGGAUCCGCGCUGCAUUAGCUAGUUGGUAAGAUAACGACUAACCAAGGCAACGAUGCGUAGCCUAUCUGUGAGGGUAAGCGGCCGCAGUUGAACUGAUACGAGGUCCAGGAUCCGACGGAAAGCAAUCGUGAGGAAUCUUGCACUAUUGGCGAAAGCCUGACGGAGCAACCGCACGUGAGUGAUGGAGGUCUUCGGGUCGAAAAACCCUGUUAUUAGGGAGGAACAAAAGUGUAUAUAACUAUGCAUGUCUUGACGGUACCUAAUCAGAGAGCCACGGCGAACCACGGG